GAGAGUGUAGAGAUUAGAGAGAGACUGUAGAGAUUAGAGAGAGAGAGAUCAAGGCAUUAAUUGCCAAUAUUUGCUAAGAUUUCCAAAUAUUCUCAAAGAUCAUCUAAAUCUUCUAAAAUCUUGCAAAUCAAAUCAUAUCUUUCCAAGCAACUCUCUCUCUCCAUCCUCACCAUUUUCGGCCAUCACCUUCUCUCCCUCAUCUCUCACUUUCCACCAUUAACAACCAUAGAUGAGACCUUCGGAGCUUCCAAAAAUUAUGCCAAACACAUAAAUCUCCAUCAAAAUCUUCCAUAAACACAUCCUAACUACUUAAAUUCAAGAGAAUCCUUGAAGAAGGGCUUCAAAGCUAGAGUGAGAAAGUGUGGGUUUUGGUAAGAAUUUGGGUCCGGGCGACAGGAAGUGAAGCCGAAGAAGAAGCGACUCCACGCUAGCUUAAGAACGUUUGAGGUUGAGCAGCUGAUGGAAUGGAAUGGUGUUGAGCGGGUGUUCCUUUGACAUUUCAAGAAAUGUAACCUUGAGUAUACAUCUUCAUAUGUAUAUCUCACAUGUUUUUCGCUGCAAACACUUUGAUUAGGAUAGUUCUAUGUUAUGAAGUUGUGACACGUGUUAUUGGGUAACCCACCUUAAUCAGUUUUCCUUUAUGAGUAUGUUUUAUAAGUAUCCAAAUAAUCAUAUAUGGUCCUAACGUUUUAUCUAUGA